rnacentral:rRNA from 1 species
AUGAACGCUGGCGGCGUGCCUAAUACAUGCAAGUCGAGCGAACAGACGAGGAGCUUGCUCCUCUGACGUUAGCGGCGGACGGGUGAGUAACACGUGGAUAACCUACCUAUAAGACUGGGAUAACUUCGGGAAACCGGAGCUAAUACCGGAUAAUAUAUUGAACCGCAUGGUUCAAUAGUGAAAGACGGUUUUGCUGUCACUUAUAGAUGGAUCCGCGCCGCAUUAGCUAGUUGGUAAGGUAACGGCUUACCAAGGCAACGAUGCGUAGCCGACCUGAGAGGGUGAUCGGCCACACUGGAACUGAGACACGGUCCAGACUCCUACGGGAGGCAGCAGUAGGGAAUCUUCCGCAAUGGGCGAAAGCCUGACGGAGCAACGCCGCGUGAAUGAUGAAGGUCUUCGGAUCGUAAAACUCUGUUAUUAGGGAAGAACAAAUGUGUAAGUAACUAUGCACGUCUUGACGGUACCUAAUCAGAAAGCCACGGCUAACUACGU